AAGCUAGCGGCAGGAUUAUCAUUUCAGUGAAGGCCCGCGCUUUCUACGAGUUAAUUUUAACUUAUAUGAAAUUGAAUGAAGUGGGAAAAGCCCAAGAAGUUGCGCUUCGAUUGUAGAAUUAUGUUGAAUGUUUACAACGCACCCCAACGACUUCUCUGGCUCUGUCUAAAAACUAAUUGGAACAAACUAAUUGGAAACAAAGAACAAACUAAUUGGAAACAAAGAAAAGCCGCGAAGAUAUUUGUUUCAGUAUUAGAUAUUAUCCCGGGAUAUUUACCAAUCACAGAAGUAUUGGACGGCUGCCGUGUGUGAGGCUGGACAGGAUGUGAAUAACGUAAUUGUGAAUAACAUAAAUCUUACUACCUUGCGACUAGGGCUGCUCCAAUUAAUCGAUUGAUCGAUUAAUCGA